rnacentral:lncRNA from 1 species
AAAUACUGUUACGGGGUAGCACUGCAAUAAUUCACUGAAACAAAAGAAUGAAUGAGGAAUACGUUUAUAUAGGAAUCAGAGGAAACAUGACUAAACAUUUAAAGAAAUAGGUAAGAAACUGCUAGGUUCAAAUGCUACCGUGAGACACUGUCAGGGCCUUAGGCAAAUUCACUUCUCUUGGUCCUGUUUCUAGGUUCAUCAAAAACCAGCUUUGGACUAGGGAAUCUGUUGCUUCCCAAAGUCUUCCUUCUGUGAUUCCAGCACAGAUUUUAGAACUGCUCUCCCACUUGGUAUAUGAAAGUGCUUUCUGUGUAGAAUAGCAAGAGUACAUUUCUGUGUUGAAUGAGGUUUGGGACCUACUCUAUGAGGCAGAAUAUCAUCAUGUAACUUUAAGCAUGACGACAAGGCGCACUCUAGAAUAAGGAUAACACAUAAGAUGUGGCCAUACACCUGUGCGUGCCUGGCAGGGAGAUGGAGAAGUCUCAUUUAAUGAAGCCGCGGUGCCUGUUGCACCUGAAUAUCCCCAGUCCACGUCAAGUUCACAACGUCCUUCUGACAUCAAACCACAGGCCAUGAGCACUGGCUGCAUGUCUGCUACGGCCCGGACUGCAAGGGAGGCACCCUAGGGAACACAGAUGACCUCAGCACAGCGACACCCUCAAGGAGCACACACGGAGAAGGCAAGAUGAUACAAUCGCAGACUUCACACAGAAAAGAACGUGGCAUCCAUACCCUGUCCCAUUU